GACCAAAAAAAAAAAAAAAAAAAAAAAAAAAAGCGUUAGGCUGCUUUACCAGCUCCCACGGACCCCAGAGUUUGGCUGAGACAGAACAUACUUUUCUCCAGUGCUAUCAGCUGGUGUAAACAGUUUAGGAAAGAUAAAUGACCAGCCCAGUUGGGCGUAAGAACCUCUGAGAUAUGAAAUUCCAGGGCUGUGUCUCCAGCCCUCAGGGGGUCCUGGAAGGGCCUCAUCGUGGUACCUGCUUCUCGACCAUCACCCUCUGGAUCAGGUUUCUAAAUGGAAUCUCGUUCUCUCUUGUGUGACCUGUACCUGGCCGACUGAUACAGCAGCCGCUCACUGUAUGACUAGAUGAAAAUACAAAUUUAAAAUUAAAAACUCAGUUCCUUACAGUUGCACUCUCCACUUUCAAGUGCUCAGCCGCCCCUGCGUCCAGUGGCCACUCUGCUGGGCCGCCCAGUUCUGGAACAUUUCUGCCUGAUCCAUAAUCUCUCCGGGUUUGUUUACCGACACACAGAUGAUUGGAUCCUGUGUCUGCUGCCUUUGCAAGAGGCCACGACGACUAGGUGGCCUAUUAAAAACAGGCCUUUUCACCUGCUCCCCAGGGGCUCUCUUUGGGGCAGAGCUGGUCCUUCUGUCCACUCUGCUGUGCUCUUGGACUCCCGCUCUGACUUGGUAGCGACGAAACGCGGUAGCUUGUCUAACGGACAGGUUGUAGGCAGCGGAGGCAUCAAGGGUGUACACCGCUGACAGUUGCAGCUUUUUCUUUGGCACUUUGCAGAGGAUACUGAAAUAUUACUUCAAAAGAUGAAGCGAUAGAAAUGGAAUACGAAUCAGUCAUUAUACCUCAUGAUGCAUCUGUGAACGCCCUGUACUUACUUUUGGGUUAUUACCGUCUUCAGCCCAAGGUUAGAUGCACGUUUACAGACAUGGAAAACUGAACAUCCAAAAGAGGGUGACUGGGUGAGAGGCUCUGAAAUGACGGAUGGCAGCGCCUCGUUCAGGAAGUGCACGAACCUUGUGGCCUUUGAUGAUUUUUAAAAGCCAAUUAAUAUUUUCUUGUGGCCUUUAUUAAUUAGCAUUUUCCAUUAUUCUCCAGAUCAGAACAUAGUAACCUAUUGGUACUUCUUAAACAGCACACAGGUGACGGUGGUACUUGUCUCAUCAACGGAGUUCUGAUGGAGGGACACCCACAUGCUGCUGAUCCGUGAGGAUGAGAGGGGCGCAGAGACCCUGACCAAACUUGGACUUUGCUGUUUAGCCAAAACCUGUAGCUUCGACUGCCCACCGGUUUUAAAAGGAAACCUAAUUUCAGCAUAUGUUUAAUGUACCCAGCAAAUGGCAACAUUUGAGGUGAAAAAAUAUUAAAACAUACUUUUGUUUACUUAAAGCAUGGGAUGGAUAAAUAUUAAUUUAAGAGUUCAUCCUUAUUUCUGUCUCAAGAGUGGGAUAAUUUAUCAGUUUGAUUAUUUGCAAAGUAGAAUUUUAGAUAAAAAUUUUACCAUAAAGCCAUUCCUUAAUAUAGUAGUCAAAUCAUAAAAUAUAUAAAUACCUCCAUGAAAGGCAACUUUUAUCUGUUUUUUAAUCAAAAGUGGGAAGGGGGUGGUUUCUCAAAUUGUAGGUACUUUAACAAACCAUAAGUAACUUCGUCUUUAAUUAAUACAAUCAUACUUAUGGGACGCUGAUUAUUUUUAAUUAUUCAGAACCUCCAAAAUAAAUAUUUAUAUUUUCUAGUAGUUAAAUGUGUAAGAAUGUUUUUUCUUUCUAAUGCUGGCGUGUUAAAGAUCUAAUGUAUGUGCUCAUUAUAUAAAUUAUCCAAAAAAAAAAAAAGGCUCCAAAAUAUGUAAACAUGAGUAAACCAGACCUGCUCCCAGAGCUGAGACAGAACAGCACUCUCUCCCGUGUAGGUACCAGCAGUUAGUCACUAGCUCUAUCAGUUCUUCCCCUUAAGUACUGACAGAUCCUGUCGCCCCAUCCCCAGCAGUGGACGGGACUCCUACCGUCCCCUCCCUGGAUGACCGAAUGCCGCCCGGAAGGAUGGGAAAGGACGCAGUACAGCCCAGGCGGCCCGGCUCGGGGAGCGUCACCCCUGGCCUGCCCAUCCCGCCGCUUCUCCGCCGUUGCCCCAACCGCGCCCAGCCACGCAGACCCCACGACACCGUCUGAAGGCUUUGGGUUUCAUCAGAGCUCUUCCUUCAGGACUCAGCUCAAAUGCUUGCCUCCAAGAAGCCACUUCUGAUGCUUCCCAGGAGCCUGAGCCAGGGCCUUCCCCGCCUCCUGUCACCCUGCACCUUUUCCACAGCCCCAAUAAACAGCGCUCACUGGAUUCA